rnacentral:tRNA from 1 species
UCCCUGGAGGUCCAGUGGUUAGGACUCUGAGCUUCCAAUGCAUGGCGCACAGGUUCAAUCCCUGUUCAGGGAA